GAGCGCUCGCUGGCUGGCUGGCUAACGGAAAGGCUGGCUGGACUCGGGGAUCCAGCCACACUGCUGGCGGGCAGCAUGCUGUCCACCCUGCGGGUGCCUUUCUCAGACUAGGGCCCGCAUGAAUUCCGCCUCCCGGGAGAAGCUGACGUCGGCAUGCCUUCCAGGGGCAGCGGCUGCCCUCCAGGGUCUGGAACUUGGGGGUCAUGCUGCCUCCAACUCCUGACUCUGUGGCCCCAAGAGGAAGAGGAAGCUGGGUGGGAUCUUAGGGGCCAUGUGGACUAGGCAGCCCACUGGGGAGUGGGCACGUGAAAAGUACUUUGGGACACGGAGUUCCAAUCAAACAGAAGACUGGAACCUCAGCACCUCCAAAGCUCACGGACCCGCUGGUGAGGGCUGCCCGGACUGCUGAUUCCACUCAGCCACUCACCACCCGCCCUGUCUGCCAGGUGCCAUGUGCAAGGAUGCUGCAUUUUCUGCUAAUGGGGGUGGGGGAUGGCAGGAGACAUAAUGGGGUGGGGAGGGGUCAUUGCUAUUGUCGUCAUCACUCUUUGUCACCCCAAUGGCAUUCUAUACCUUCUUUUGCAUCUGAUCUCAAGGCAUCAAGAAUAUGAAAAACAGCUCUUCUGUCCCCAAAAGGGAGAUCUUACCUUAAGCAAUGGGAUUACCAUUAAGUACAAGACAUUUGACAUUAAACCAUUAAGCACAAGA
rnacentral:lncRNA from 1 species